ACGAACGCUGGCGGCGUGCUUAACACAUGCAAGUCGAACGGAAAGGCCCUGCUUUUGUGGGGUGCUCGAGUGGCGAACGGGUGAGUAACACGUGAGUAACCUGCCCUUGACUUUGGGAUAACUUCAGGAAACUGGGGCUAAUACCGGAUAGGAGCUCCUGCUGCAUGGUGGGGGUUGGAAAGUUUCGGCGGUUGGGGAUGGACUCGCGGCUUAUCAGCUUGUUGGUGGGGUAGUGGCUUACCAAGGCUUUGACGGGUAGCCGGCCUGAGAGGGUGACCGGCCACAUUGGGACUGAGAUACGGCCCAGACUCCUACGGGAGGCAGCGGUGGGGAAUAUUGCACAAUGGGCGGAAGCCUGAUGCAGCAACGCCGCGUGCGGGAUGACGGCCUUCGGGUUGUAAACCGCUUUCGCCUGUGACGAAGCGUGAGUGACGGUAAUGGGUAAAGAAGCAUCGGCUAACUACGUG
rnacentral:rRNA from 1 species